rnacentral:rRNA from 1 species
CCGCGUGAAUGAUGAAGGCCUUCGGGUUGUAAAGUUCUGUCUUCUGGGACGAUAAUGACGGUACCAGAGGAGGAAGCCACGGCUAACUACGUGCCAGCAGCCGCGGUAAUACGUAGGUGGCAAGCGUUGUCCGGAUUUACUGGGCGUAAAGGAUGCGUAGGCGGACAUUUAAGUCAGAUGUGAAAUACCCGAGCUUAACUUGGGUGCUGCAUUUGAAACUGGGUGUCUAGAGUGCAGGAGAGGUAAGUGGAAUUUCUAGUGUAGCGG